rnacentral:rRNA from 1 species
CGCAUCUGUGCAUGCAGCAUAUCAAUAAGCGAGGAAAAGAAACUAACAAGGAUUCCCUUAGUAACGGCGAGUGAAGCGGGAAGAGCUCAAAUUUGAAAUCUUCAAGGUUUUACCUUGACGAAUUGUAGUUUAAAGAAGUGUUUUCUGUUGAAGUUUUGGUAAAAGUUCUUUGGAAUAGGACAUCAUAGAGAGUGAGAAUCCCGUAUUUGACCAUUAUUUUCAGCUGUGUGAUACACUUUCAAAGAGUCGGAUUGUUUGGGAAUGCAGUCCAAAAUGGGUGGUAAAUUUCAUCUAAAGCUAAAUAUUGGCGAGAGACCGAUAGCGAACAAGUACCGUGAGGGAAAGAUGAGAAGAACUUUGAAAAGAGAGUUAAACAGUACGUGAAAUUGUCAAAAGGGAAGCGUUUGACACCAGUGUUGUUUUCUCGAAAAUCAAUUAAAAAGAGUUAGAUUUUGUUGUGUAUUGACCUUAACAGCUUGCAUUUCAAUUUUCUUGCUUUUUUUAAUGCACUUUUCGUUUAACGAAGUCAACAUCAGUUUCUUUUGUUGUAAAAAGGUCAUUGGAAGGUGGCUUUCUUUUCGGAGAAAGUGUUUAUAGCCUUUGACUCCUGCAAUCGGAGAGACUGAGGUCUGCAGCGUAGAUCCUUCGGGGUUAGAUACAUUUGUGCUAAGUUAUAGCUUUUUAUAGACAACUUGUUGACUAUGAUUAGUCUUGUAGCUUACUCGCUUAUGCUAUUUUACCUACGCUUAGGAUGUUGACACACGCGCGUGCUCGAUCUAUACAUGACUCUGCGCAUAUCAAUAAGCGGAGGAAAAGAGGGCUAUUACCUACGCUUAGGAUGUUGACGCGCGUGUGUGCGUGAGUCUAUACAUGACUCUGCGCAUAUCAUAAGCGGAGGAAAAGGUGCUUGAAUACCUACGCUUAGGAUGUUGACACACGCGCGUGCUCGACUCUAUACAUGACUCUGCGCAUAUCAAAAGCGGAGGAAAAGUCGACUACCUACGCUUAGGAUGUUGAAGAUGUAGCACAUCAU